rnacentral:rRNA from 1 species
GCCCUUGGAUGAGCCCGCGGCCUAUCAGCUUGUUGGUGGGGUGAUGGCCUACCAAGGCGACGACGGGUAGCCGGCCUGAGAGGGCGACCGGCCACACUGGGACUGAGACACGGCCCAGACUCCUACGGGAGGCAGCAGUGGGGAAUAUUGCACAAUGGGCGCAAGCCUGAUGCAGCGACGCCGCGUGAGGGAUGACGGCCUUCGGGUUGUAAACCUCUUUCAGCAGGGAAGAAGCUUUCGGGUGACGGUACCUGUAGAAGAAGCACCGGCUAACUACGUGCCAGC